rnacentral:rRNA from 1 species
UAGAACGCUAGCGGCAGGCUUAACACAUGCAAGUCGAGGGGGCAACACGGGUAGCAAUACCUGGUGGCGACCGGCGCAAGGGUGCGUAACGCGUGAGCAACAUGCCCUAUACAGGGGGAUAAUCCAGGGAAACUUGGUCUAAUAUCCCAUAGUAUUUAGAGGUGGCAUCACCACUAAAUUAAAGCUUCGGUGGUAUAGGAUUGGCUCGCGUGACAUUAGCUGGAUGGUGGGGUAACGGCUCACCAUGGCGAUGAUGUCUAGGGGUUCUGAGAGGAAGACCCCCCCACACUGGGACUGAGACACGGCCCAGACUCCUACGGGAGGCAGCAGUGAGGAAUAUUGGACAAUGGAUGGAAAUCUGAUCCAGCCAUGCCGCGUGCAGGAAGACGGCCCUAUGGGUUGUAAACUGCUUUUAUAUGGGAGCAAUAAGGUCUACGUGUAGACUGAUGAGAGUACCAUAUGAAUAAGCAUCGGCUAACUCCGUG